rnacentral:rRNA from 1 species
UAAGACGGAAGGUGCAAGCGUUGCUCGGAAUCACUGGGCGUAAAGGGUGCGUAGGCGGCCGUGCAAGUCUGGCGUGAAAGCCCCGGGCUCAGCCCGGGAAGUGCGCUCGAAACUGCGCGGCUCGAGUGCCGGAGGGGAGAGUGGAAUUCCUGGUGUAGCGGUGAAAUGCGUAGAUAUCAGGAGGAAUACCGGUGGCGAAAGCGACUCUCUGGACGGCAACUGACGCUGAGGCACGAAAGCGUGGGGAGCAAACAGGAUUAGAUACCCUGGUAGUCCACGCCGUAAACGAUGGGCACUAGGUGUCGGGGGUAUCCACUCCCUCGGUGCCGCCGCUAACGCAUUAAGUGUCCCGCCUGGGAAGUACGGUCGCAAGAUUA